UACGUAGGGUGCAAGCGUUAAUCGGAAUUACUGGGCGUAAAGCGUGCGCAGGCGGUUUUGUAAGUUUGUCGUGAAAUCCCCGGGCUCAACCUGGGAAUGGCGAUGAAGACUGCAAGGCUAGAAUCUGGCAGAGGGGGGUAGAAUUCCACGUGUGAGCAGUGAAAUGCGUAGAGAUGUGGAGGAACACCGAUGGCGAAGGCAGCCCCCUGGGUCAAGAUUGACGCUCAUGCACGAAAGCGUGGGGAGCAACAGGAUUACGAACCCGAGUAAGAUCCAG
rnacentral:rRNA from 1 species